AGGUGUUCGCAUUGUUGCCGAGCCAUCGGAAGGGUCCCUGAUAGCCGCCGGUUAUUUAUACUUGCAUGGAGCAAUACAGGACACACGCGUCCAUACUUAAUGUGCCCAUUGUCCUCUGUGUGCACACACGCCACACAGCCGCGUCAUUCGCCAGAGAAAGAGAGAGAAGACGCACACGAUGGAAGCGACCGGUCUGAAGAAAUACCAGCGAUAUGCCGUUCCGGCGCUGCUACUCUUGGGCUGGGUGGUCGGCUGCGGCUUACUCACCUACUACAGCCUGUUCCGCCACUGAGGCCCAGGGCCAACGGCCUGGGUAAGCGGCACACCUGAGCGUGUGCGCCCCUGCACCGCAGCGAUAUAAUCAACUUUGGAAUGGUUGAAAAAGAGAAGAAACCCCCCCCCCCCCACACACACACAAAAAACAAACACAAGGCCAAGAAAAGAAAACGUCUACACCGAUGAUCAUUCAAAGAUGUGUUUCGAUAUUUAUUACAAACGCAGAAACGUACAGCCCGCACAGCACCGCGUCACGUUAAAACUCAACGUGAUUUGGCACGCGUUCGUGAAUGCAUUAUCGUGAGGACAUUAAACCAUGCAAGCAAUGUCAACAUCCUUCCUGUGAACGGUAUUAAAAUAUUUACAAUAAACACGCAUUCGUCUUGA